AACGUGAGACGCUCUUCCAUAUCCUACAGUGCUGUAAGCUGACGCAUCAGGCCCGCGUCUGGAUGCACAAUAAGGUUAUAAAAUUACUGGCGACAAAGCUGGUACAGCGAGGGCAUGCAGUUCUAUUGGAACCACAUAUUCGCAAAGGCCAAACCUACAGAAGGACGGACAUUGUGGUGUGCAGUGAGAAGGGCCUAACUGUUGUGGACAUUGCGGUCGCUGGCGAGGAGCUUUUGGAGUCGGUCUAUCCUGGGACGUUCCGCUACUAUUCAACAGCGGAAGUCCAGGUAAAUCUUCGAAGGAUUUUUGGCCGCCCAGCUGACUUUCCGAUCUCCCAUGACCCCCCAUUUGUUCGUCACGAGGCACCCUGUAUCCACGCUGCGAAGCCAGAUUGCGUCUUUUGGGUCUGUCAAAGUUUGAUCUCUGGGAUUUGUGCUUGAUGGUGGUACGUGGUUGCUUGAAAGCCUACGAUGUCUUCAUGCGGGAAGCUGGUGGUCGGGUGCAAAGGUAACUCUACGGUUUGGACCCGCGGGUGUUGAAAUGGUGCAGGAGACCUUAACCGACUUGUAGCCCCCCUGCUUAACUGGCACUGAGUUGUCCAGGGGCAAACGACCGUUGUCUGAGGAAGUCGCUUGCGGAUGCUACCCGUUGGAGAUUGCUAUGAGUUGCCCCUCUUGUCCCAGCUACCGACUGUUGCCUAUCAGCCUCCCGACUGUAUAACUGGACAGUGUUCUCUUAGUUUUGCAAUGCUUGCUUUUCUGGGGCAUGUCUGCACAAUUUGUAUUUUCAUUUUGGGUAUAAUAAAUACUUUCUAGCAAAAUGCCUCGUUAUCUGAUUAGUGACGUGCAUGAAUGGAUUUACGAGAUUCCUACUGUCCAUAUCUACUAUCUUGCGAAACCACAGCCAAUAGAACGGGCUUGGCAGAAUCACCGGAGAAAGAAGACUCUGUUUAGCUUGACUUUAGUCCGACUAUGUGAAGAGACAUGGCGGGUUAAUUAAUGAGUGGGAGGCGGGAAUCGCCCUUCGGGGUGUCUCGUUCGACAAUGAAAGACCACCCCCAUUAAUUGUUUCUAUACCUUUACAGUGAAGCGGGAAUUGUCCAGGUGCACUAUGAAGUAGCGUCAUAGUGCUUGUUGAACCGGUGGAAAACUUUCUGUAUGGUCCAAGGGUAAUACCUCUCAGUCGUUAACUGGAUGGUUACCCCGCCUUUGAACGGAAUAAU
rnacentral:ncRNA from 1 species